ACCUACGGGAGGCAGCAGUAAGGAAUAUUGGUCAAUGGACGCAAGUCUGAACCAGCCAUGCCGCGUGAAGGAUGAAGGUCCUCUGGAUUGUAAACUUCUUUUAUUUGGGACGAAAAAAGGGUUUUUUAACUCACUUGACGGUACCAGAUGAAUAAGCACCGGCUAACUCCGUGCCAGCAGCCGCGGUAAUACGGAGGGUGCAAGCGUUAUCCGGAUUCACUGGGUUUAAAGGGUGCGUAGGCGGGUAUGUAAGUCAGCGGUGAAAUCCCCGAGCUUAACUUGGGAACUGCCGUUGAUACUAUAUAUCUUGAAUGUUGUGGAGGUUAGCGGAAUAUGUCAUGUAGCGGUGAAAUGCUUAGAUAUGACAUAGAACACCCAUUGCGAAGGCAGCUAACUACGCAAAUAUUGACGCUGAGGCACGAAAGCGUGGGGAUCAAACAGGAUUAGAUACCCUGGUAGU
rnacentral:rRNA from 1 species